rnacentral:piRNA from 1 species
UGAUGGUAAUGGUGAAGAGAAGGAUGCUU